CAAAUGAGUGUUCCCUUUCUCUGCACUCUGACAGCAUUGUUAUCAGUUGAUUUGUUGAUCAUUGCUGUUGUGACUGGGGUCAUUUGAUUUUUGAUUGUUUCACUGAAUUAUUCAUGCACUUCAUGUCUUUAUCUCCUGUGAAAUAUGUAGUUGGACCAGAUGACUAUUGAUUUGUGCAUCAUUGGCAGAACAGAAAAGUUGCCUGGUGAUAUACUUCUGCUACUGAGGCCUCUAGCAUCUUUGAAUGCAUGGAGUUGGCCCUGACUCAGCUAAUUAAGCCACUGCAAAGGAGAAGCCCAGUGCAUCAGCAGUUCAAGUCAUCUCAUAAAAUAGAAGGAGAACUCAUCUCGAUGUACUGAAGGGGGGUAUUUCCAAUCCGAAUUAUAUACUUUGCUGGUCCACUGUCCUGAAAUUGUCAGUUUGUGUGCCAGGAUCCUGAUAACUGACCAGUUGUCUAGAGAGUUUGGGCUUGUUCAAAAUAAUGUUUGUGGUAAGACAGAGGGAUUAGAAGAUGUUUAUCAAAGUGUUUCUAGAUCACAUCAGAAGAACAUGAAGCUGAAAGCUUAAUUUACUGGUAUUACUAAUGAAACCAUGUCUGGAAAGGAAUAGUAAGUAGAUGCUCUUGUGAAGUUACAAAAUGGGUGCAGCAGUUACUAGGACCUAGAUAGAGGAAGGAAAGAACUAAACUGGCAGUCCUAACAUCCAGGAAAGACAUUGUUGUAAGAAUCUCUCUCAUUUACAGCCUUGGAAAGCAAUCUGACUUUCCUGGGUCAUCAAGAAAAAAUGAUGUGUGACAGGUUGUUGGAUUCUAACACUGUAGUAUGGUUGGAGAAAGCUCACAGGCAGUAAAGAAUCUAUCACCUUGGCCAUUCUAGGUACACUUCAUGCCAGGGCUUGGUAUAAGACAAAGGUGCCUUGGCCAAGAAGUAGCUAGAGAUGUUGAUGCCAAAGCUCUGUGCUGGAGUAGCUCCAGAAAGUACAUGCCUUGAUGAAGAACACAUGAUUAUGACCUUGAUUAAAAAGGAAGUGACCCAAUAUUUCUAUUCAGUUGUGCUGGGGGUGGGGGUGGGAGGUCAGAGGUUUCUUCCAAAAAGAAGUGAUGAGUCAGGAUGAAAAUCAAGUGAGAAAUACCCUGAGCUGUGUUUCCUGUACCACAAUUCUGCCUGAUUUCCUGGAGGUCUGCUGGUAGCAGGGACAACCAGCAGGAAGAAAUCAUGGAAAAUCAUUGCUCUGGUCCUUUAAUUGGGGCUAGAAGGCAGAAGAUAGAUGAGAUGUUCCAAUGUUAUAUGGACCAUUGGGGAGUUUCCAGGCAAUCAGCUGUCUCCUCCAAUUGUUUAAGUUUUGGAACCUGUGCCUUUGUGCUUUCUACAUACUCAGAUGUAUAUUGCUUCAUCUUCAGGCUGGAUGUUGGAAAUGCUAAGGUAGCGAUCAGCACCAGAGCUGGAUCCAGAGAAGCGAUCAGGA